rnacentral:rRNA from 1 species
UCGAGGAUCUUCGGCAAUGGGCGCAAGCCUGACCGAGCGACGCCGCGUGUGCGAUGAAGGCCUUCGGGUUGUAAAGCACUGUCGAGGGGGAGAAAAGGGGCAACCCUUGAUCGACCCCUGGAGGAAGCACGGGCUAAGUUCGUGCCAGCAGCCGCGGUAAGACGAACCGUGCAAACGUUGUUCGGAAUCACUGGGCUUAAAGGGCGCGUAGGCGGGCGGUCAAGUCAGGGGUGAAAUCUUUCGGCUCAACCGGAAAAGUGCCUUUGAUACUGGCCGUCUGGAGGGAGGUAGGGGCGUGCGGAACUUUGGGUGGAGCGGUGAAAUGCGUAGAUAUCCAAAGGAACACCGGUGGCGAAAGCGGCGCGCUGGACCUCUACUGACGCUGAGGCGCGAAAGCCAGGGGAGCAAACGGGAUUAGAUACCCCCGUAGUCC